rnacentral:rRNA from 1 species
UCGGGAAUUUUGGGCAAUGGGCGAAAGCCUGACCCAGCAACGCCGCGUGAAGGAUGAAGUAUUUCGGUAUGUAAACUUCGUAAGAAUAGGAAGAAUAAAUGACGGUACUAUUUGUAAGGUCCGGCUAACUACGUGCCAGCAGCCGCGGUAAUACGUAGGGACCAAGCGUUGUUCGGAUUUACUGGGCGUAAAGGGCGCGUAGGCGGUGUGUCAAGUCAGUUGUGAAAUCUCCGAGCUUAACUCGGAACGGUCAACUGAUACUGUCACACUAGAGUACAGAAGGGGCAAUCGGAAUUCUUGGUGUAGCGGUGAAAUGCGUAGAUAUCGGGAGGAACACCUGUGGCGAAGGCGCCUUACUGGGCUGUAACUGACACUGAGGUACGAAAGCGUGGGGAGCAAACAGGAUUAGAUACCCAAGUAGUCCCUGAGCGGGCUGGCAAGGCGCAU